UACGGAGGAUGCAAGCGUUAUCCGGAUUUAUUGGGUUUAAAGGGUGCGCAGGUUGUUUGAUAAGUCAGUGGUGAAAGUCUGUCGCUUAACGGUAGGAUUGCCAUUGAUACUGUUGGACUUGAAUAUGGAUGAGGUAGGCGGAAUGUGUAGUGUAGCGGUGAAGUGCAUAGAUAUUACACAGAACACCGAUUGCGUAGGCAGCUUACUAAUCCAUCAUUGACGCUUAGGCACGAAAGCGUGGGGAUCAAACAGGA
rnacentral:rRNA from 1 species